AGUGGCGAACGGGUGAGUAACACGUGAGUAACCUGCCCUUAACUCUGGGAUAAGCCUGGGAAACUGGGUCUAAUACCGGAUAUGACUCCUCAUCGCAUGGUGGGGGGUGGAAAGCUUUAUUGUGGUUUUGGAUGGACUCGCGGCCUAUCAGCUUGUUGGUGAGGUAAUGGCUCACCAAGGCGACGACGGGUAGCCGGCCUGAGAGGGUGACCGGCCACACUGGGACUGAGACACGGCCCAGACUCCUACGGGAGGCAGCAGUGGGGAAUAUUGCGCAAUGGGCGGAAGCUUGACGCAGCGACGCCGCGUGGGGGAUGACGGCCUUCGGGUUGUAAACCUCUUUCGACCUCGACGAAGAGUGAUUGACGGUAGGGGUGGAAGAAGCACCCGGCCAACUACGUGCCAGCAGCCGCGGUAAUACGUAGGGCGCAAGCGUUAUCCGGAAUUAUUGGGCGUAAAGAGCUCGUAGGCGGUUUGUCGCGUCUGCCGUGAAAGUCCGGGGCUCAACUCUGGAUCUGCGGUGGGUACGGGCAGACUAGAGUGAUGUAGGGGAGACUGGAAUUCUUGGUGUAGCGGUGAAAUGCGCAGAUAUCAGGAGGAACACUCGGUGGCGAAGGCGGGUCUCUGGGUCGUAACUGACGCUGAGGAGCGAAAGCAUGGGGAGCGAACAGGAUUAGAUACCCUGGUAGUCCACGCCGUAAACGUUGGGCACUAGGUGUGGGUCUCAACCAACGAGAUCCGCGCCGUCGCUAACGCAUUAAGUGCCCCGCCUGGG
rnacentral:rRNA from 1 species